rnacentral:lncRNA from 1 species
UUUGCUCUACCAAAAACUAAACUUUUUGGCUUCGACAUACCUGUGCAGCGAGCUGGAUAUAAUUCUUGUCAGUGGAGCUCUUGGCGUUGUAAGAGCAUCCUGUUAAACAGUUCCCACAGGCAACGCAGGCAUCCUGUGCUGCUCCAGCGACACUUUUCUUACUCGAGAAUGUCAUGGUAAGCUUCACUGGAACUCUAGACAUGUCUUCGAUAUCUUCUACAAGCUUAUCCAUGAUCUGUGUCUUAGGAAAGUCGUGGGGCACACUCUCGGGCUGCAAGAUCUCUUGUGCCUUCGCCUCAAACUCGUCCCAGUCUCUGUCCCACUCUUCCGGCCAGCGCGGAUCACGGCGAGCUCUUCGAGGCGUCGGCAUGAUCACUCCAGCGUUCACCAGAGAUCCGCCUCCAAGCCCAGACGCUGUCACGGCGAGUGAAUCUCCAUCAACAUACACCUGAGAACAUUAACAACAUCAAAGGUGAGUGAGAGGUCUUUCUUCUUUCAAGCUUUGCUCGCCUCGUAUAACGAGUUCUUCCUUCCAAAGCUGCCGAAUCCAGUGUGGAAGCGCAUGGUGGAAAGAAGCUGCCACACAUUCGUUGGAAAAUCCCGAGGCUCCCAUCGCUUGCCUUUCUCCAAAACGCAGACGCUCAAACCAGCUUGAGCGAGCCGGCACGCAGCGAUGGCUCCGCCAUAGCCAGAGCCCACCACUACAACAUCGAAGGUGCGAGGCGGAGAAGCCAUCUCAAAACGAUACCGCGUUCUUCUCAUUUGCUUGAAAGCUAUUUUAUAGGAGCUCUCGCAUGUUGGAGUUUAUGAGAAGAACAAACGACCUUGCUUGAAUCAUUCUUGUCUUUGUGAAAAGAACAAACGUCAAUAUUCAAUCUUGGUCCUGUUCACAAGGAAUUUUCUUUUU